AGUUUUCAGUUCUGUGAUUUGAGGAACGGAAGUCUUAAGAGGCUCCCUACACCUUGAAGAACAUGCCUCUAGAAAAUAUCCAAAGCACUUGGGUGAGGCUAUCAAAUUGUUUUCUUCCAAAUUUCAAUAUAUUUGAAAAAAUAUUCCUUUUAUAUGAGACAAAUAAUAAAAUCACUGUGGGGAAAGGUACAGUAGCAGUGGGGUUCCAUGUGAAUGUGAGUGGGGAGGAUAAGCUAGACUAUGCAUAGAAAUGUUAGGGAGCUCUGGUGAACUCUGAACCAGGUGAGUGUUUAUUAUCUCUCAGAUGUGUCAUGGGCAUUUCCACACCUAUGGUGCUGUCAUUAAUGCACACCCUCUUUUUUUGGUCUAUAUGAAGUCUACUUGUAUACAUCAAAGCCCAGGUCAUUCUCCACCUCCUUUGUGAAGCUUUCCCUAAUUAUCCCAGCCCAUGCUAACUUUCCUUUUCUGGGUCCCUAAUGCAUUUAUUUGAUACUAAAUACAGGCCACUUUAUAGCACUUGAAAUUAGCAUUUGUUUUUUCUACUAGAUUUUGAUUUCCUCAGUGUGUCCCUUAGAAGGCUGAGCUCAAUAUAAGCCAGUGGCCAAGAGGCUGUCUGCCAAGGGGAAACUUCAGUGUCCUGAGACCUGAUAUACUAAAAUCAAACCCUGAGAAUUAAUUUCUACAGCUCACCAACCAUCCACAAUAACAAAUUAUCUCCUUCCUUGGCUGGUCAAUUUUAUUUCAAGAGGAAAUAUUUACCUACCUGUCAGGAUGUUUUCAACUUCUGUGGACACAGCCUACAGUUUGCGGCUGCUCUGCCAGGAGUCCAGAUGAGAAAUCAGGCUGUUGUCUUGAUCAAAAGUCAGUUAGCUAGUCCUGGCAAGGGCAGGAAGCCAACAUAGUAGUUAAAUUAUGUCUUGGGACAUCAGUCUGGGACAAGGCUGCUACUUUAUAAGAGAGCUGAGUUUGACACACUCAGAGGCAGAAAGGCACCAGAAGCAGAGAAGUUCACAUAACCAGACAAAUUGAUUCAGCACCUUGGAGAGCAACCUAGGUGUUGUGCCCUAACAGCAUAGUCUUUACACUGGAUUCUACAAGCCCUAUUAGUUGGUUCAACUUUGUCUCUAGAACUCCGGUUUUCAAAGAUAAUAUGCUCCUUCUAAAAAUAAAGUUACCAGGUAGCUAGAAACCCACCUUCUUCUUUGUGGAACUUCUGAAUAUCACACAAAAUGGGCAGAAAGAAGUUUGAAAUGCCGAGGAAUCACCUUGAGUGUUCAUAUUUAUGGUGUUUUCAGAUUUAAGCCAAACUUACAGGCAUGACUCUUCCUUCUUCUUUAGUCCCACACCUCUUAGUCAUACAUAUUUUUUCAAAACAGCUCUCAAAAUAUAGCAACUUCUCCCUAGUUUGUUUUGCUUUAUUUUCUCAAACCAUCAUCAUCUCCCUAGAUCACC
rnacentral:lncRNA from 1 species